rnacentral:rRNA from 1 species
UACGAAGGGGGCUAGCGUUGCUCGGAAUCACUGGGCGUAAAGCGCACGUAGGCGGCUUUCUAAGUCAGAGGUGAAGUCCUGGAGCUCAACUCCAGAACUGCCUUUGAUACUGGAAAGCUUGAGUUCGGGAGAGGUGAGUGGAACUGCGAGUGUAGAGGUGAAAUUCGUAGAUAUUCGCAAGAACACCAGUGGCGAAGGCGGCUCACUGGCCCGAUACUGACGCUGAGGUGCGAAAGCGUGGGGAGCAAACAGGG